UACGUAGGGUGCAAGCGUUGUCCGGAAUUAUUGGGCGUAAAGAGCUCGUAGGCGGUUUGUCGCGUCUGCUGUGAAAACCCGAGGCUCAACCUCGGGCCUGCAGUGGGUACGGGCAGACUAGAGUGCGGUAGGGGAGAUUGGAAUUCCUGGUGUAGCGGUGGAAUGCGCAGAUAUCAGGAGGAACACCGGUGGCGAAGGCGGGUCUCUGGGCAGUUGCUGACACUGAGGCGCGACAGCGUGGGGAGCAAACAGG
rnacentral:rRNA from 1 species